UGGAUCAGCAUGCCACGGUGAAUACGUUCCCGGGUCUUGUACACACCGCCCGUCACACCAUGGGAGUCGGUAACACCCGAAGUCAGUAGUCUAACCGCAAGGAGGACGCUGCCGAAGGUGGGAUUGACGACUGGGGUGAAGUCGUAACAAGGUAUC
rnacentral:rRNA from 1 species